rnacentral:rRNA from 1 species
UACGUAGGAUGCAAGCGUUGUCCGGUGUUAUUGGGAUUAAAGGGUGCGUAGGCGGCCUAUUAAGUUAGUGGUGAAAACGUUCGGCUUAACCGGAUACCCGCCAUUGAUACUGAUAGACUUGAGUGCGACAGAGGGUGUUGGAAUGUGUGGUGUAGCGGUGAAAUGCUUAGAUAUCACGCAGAACACCAAUUGCGAAGGCAGAUGCCUAUGUCGUAACUGACGCUGAGGCACGAAAGCGUGGGGAGCAAACAGG